GGCAGGAGCCCAAGAUGAGCUCCGCCCAGGCAGUGGAGACAGAGGAGAGGGAGAGAGCACAACUACAACAAAACGUGGCCUGACAGAGCCAGCCAGGGAGGUACGGAGACCAUGACAGAAAGAAGGAAAUUCACGGAUGCAGCACCUAGGCUAAAAGCUACUGGAGAUCUGGAGUGGAGCAAACUUGAGGCCUAAACACAGGAUGCCACACCGAGGAUGUGGACAAGUAUCAAAAUGACAUUUCGAACAACGAUGAAGGCAAUGGUACAGCAACGUGGAGCAAUUGCUAUAAAAAUACUGGAAGCCUCAGUGUUUGAGGCAGAGAACAAUGGUGCCAUGUGUUCUACUCAAAAAUCACCGAUUCCAGGGCCUUCAAUCACCAAUUGGUGUGACAGCUGCUCCAGGUGGUUUGACACACAGUGCCUCCAGAUGAACACAGAGCAGUUUUGGAAAGCAGAGGCUGGAGAAUGGGACCGCUCUCUGUGUGAAAAAUACAUACUUGUUUGAAAUGAAGACAAAUGUAUGCUGUCAAGACAACAAAUGGGUUUUCUAACAUUUUCGUUAUCGUUUUUGAAGUCUUUGUGUCCUUAUGAAUAAUGUAUAUAAUGCUGAAUAAUUUCAUGUAACUUUAAGUGUUUUUAUCAGACUCUCAGGAAAGAAUGUAAUUUGUUUUUACAUUCUUGGUACUUGGAUAUGGGGAAUUAAUAGAUAGUUAUUGAUAUAUUUUCAUUAUGUUCUCUAUUUCAAACUCUAAAUUAAGCUUGGUUAUACUUUUGUAUUAUAUUCUUUGUACAUGUCCUUUAAUACAUUUUUGAUAACAUAAAACUAAAUUCUGAGAGAAAUCAGUAUUUUUCAAUACAGAAUGCACAAAUGUUUCUUAAAUUGAUUUGGCAGGCAGCGUUACAUUAGUAAAAUAAAAUAUAUCACAUUAGAAAACUUGGGUUAAUAGCUUUGAACAGAGGAACCAAGUUUGACCAAAAAUGACAAAUAUUAUUUUUCAUUUUAUUAAUUUUUUUGACUAUUUUAAGUGGAUUUGUGGUAUAAAAGCAGAAUGACAGAAUGUUAAAAGAAGUUACAUUUAACCGCUCUGAGCUGGGAAUUGGGUUCUCCGGCUGUUUGAAGCCAUGGAACUUUUGACUUUUCAUGCAAGCUAAACACUAUGAGCCAAUAAAUAUAAUAAAAGAACAUAAACAUGGUGUCCUGGGUCUUUGACCCUGCAUAUUCAGUUUUAGGAUGUUUAUUUAACUUUAAACUUAUGACUUGUUCUUUUGGAGUUUUAGAUGUGGAUUAUAUUUGGGCUGUGUCUCUAGUCCUUUCACUAUAAUAUUGUGUCAUUGUGCUUCUAAGUGUCCCUUUGUUUCCACUCAGUUCAUAUGUCUUAGUCCUAAUCUAUGUUUGUUACUUCCUGUUUUAUUUAUGUUGGCAAUUUUAUUAUUUUGAUAUCUUGUAUAUGUUGUGUGUGUUGUUUAGUUUUGCGUUCCCUUGUCUCGUUAGUAAGAUUCUGUUCAGCUGUGUUCCCUGGUGUUUCUCAUGUCCCUAAUAACCUGGCAUAUAUAUGUUGUCUGAGUUUUUGUUUUUUGAUCAUGUUACUCCUCCUGGGUGUAUUCACCCUAACAGUAUGUUUUCCCUGUUAAGUGGAAGGCUUGAUUUUUUUUUUUUCCCUCCUUGUAUUGUUGCUUGUGGUAUUUUGUAUGUUGUUGUGGUUUAAUAAAAUCACCUUUUGGAUUAUUCCCUAAUGUGCCUGAGUUCUGCUCUUGAGUGCAACUGUGAAAGGCACACAGCCAGCCUUGACAAUAAUUGUUCUUUAAAUUUUGAUGAAUAUUGCAGCAGAUCGAGAUGAAACUUGGCCCAGAUGUAGACUCAGUGGCCCAAAGAAGGAAUGUGUUAAAAGUUUGAUCCCUCCACCCCCCCUCUUUUUUUUUUAUCUCUUUGUUAUAGACUAGAAUGUUUAAGGUAGAAAUAUAAUUGAAUAAUGAGGUUGGUUUAUUUUCACAGUAGUGUGCAGAAGUAUGGAGGGGAAUUUUUAUUUUAUUUGCUUUUUCUUUCUCUUUUUGCCUCUCUCAGGGACUCUAGCUCGGUUUCACGGGGCCCAGUUUUCUUUUUCCUAUGGAUCACAAGAUCAGCUUAUUUGGGGAGGGAAGCGGGGGUAUUAGAUAGUGAUGGCCAAACAAAGUUUUCUGAAGCAUUGAAUUUUGUGUUAAAAAAACACUUUUCAACACAGUCGACUAUUGAUGGCAAAGAAUAUGAAUGUUUUUUGGGGGCGGGGGGGGAAUUAUGUCUAUUUGUUUAAUGAUUAAUUGGAUGAAUAAACUUUCCUUACUUGAACAUGUGCCAUGGUGUGGUCUUUCUUUGCUUGUGACGUCUUGAUGUUGGUAAAUACAAUAGACAAAAAAUACAUAUAAUAACGUACAACAUAUUUUG